rnacentral:rRNA from 1 species
GACGAACGCUGGCGGCGUGCUUAACACAUGCAAGUCGAACGGAAAGGCCCUGCUUUUGUGGGGUGCUCGAGUGGCGAACGGGUGAGUAACACGUGAGUAACCUGCCCUUGUCUUUGGGAUAACUUCAGGAAACUGGGGCUAAUACCGGAUAGGAGCUCCUGCUGCAUGGUGGGGGUUGGAAAGUUUCGGCGGUUGGGGAUGGACUCGCGGCUUAUCAGCUUGUUGGUGGGGUAGUGGCUUACCAAGGCUUUGACGGGUAGCCGGCCUGAGAGGGUGACCGGCCACAUUGGGACUGAGAUACGGCCCAGACUCCUACGGGAGGCAGCAGUGGGGAAUAUUGCACAAUGGGCGGAAGCCUGAUGCAGCAACGCCGCGUACGGGAUGACGGCCUUCGGGUUGUAAACCGCUUUCGCCUGUGACGAAGCGUGAGUGACGGUAAUGGGUAAAGAAGCACCGGCUAACUACGUG